rnacentral:rRNA from 1 species
ACGGGGCCCGCGACAAGCGGUGGAGCAUGUGGUUUAAUUCGAUGCAACGCGAAGAACCUUACCUGGGCUUGACAUCCCGAGAAUCUUCUGGAAACAGGAGAGUGCCCUUCGGGGAACUCGGUGACAGGUGCUGCAUGGCUGUCGUCAGCUCGUGUCAUGAGAUGUUGGGUUAAGUCCCGCAACGAGCGCAACCCUUGUCUUUAGUUGCCAUCAUUAAGUUGGGCACUCUAAAGAGACUGCCGGUGUCAAACCGGAGGAAGGUGGGGAUGACGUCAAGUCCUCAUGGCCUUUAUGACCAGGGCUACACACGUACUACAAUGGCAGGUACAAAGGGCAGCCACUUAGCGAUAAGGCGCGAAUCCCAUAAAACCUGUCUCAGUCCGGAUUGGAGUCUGCAACUCGACUCCAUGAAGUUGGAAUCGCUAGUAAUCGCAGAUCAGCACGCUGCGGUGAAUACGUUCCCGGGCCUU